ACAGCCACAUCAUGUUGCAACACCAGUUCUCAUACGAUCACUGAAGCAAAGUCAAGCCUGGUUAAUACCUAGAUGGGUAACUGCUUGGGAAUACCAGGUGCUGUAAG